rnacentral:rRNA from 1 species
GACGAACGCUGGCGGCGUGCUUAACACAUGCCAGUCGAACGGAAAGGCCCUGCUUUUGUGGGGUGCUCGUGUGGCGAACGGGUGAGUAACACGUGAGUAACCUGCCCUUGACUUUGGGAUAACUUCAGGAAACUGGGGCUAAUACCGGAUAGGAGCUCCUGCUGCAUGGUGGGGGUUGGAAAGUUUCGGCGGUUGGGGAUGGACUCGCGGCUUAUCAGCUUGUUGGUGGGGUAGUGGCUUACCAAGGCUUUGACGGGUAGCCGGCCUGAGAGGGUGACCGGCCACAUUGGGAUUGAGAUACGGCCCAGACUCCUACGGGAGGCAGCAGUGGGGAAUAUUGCACAAUGGGCGGAAGCCUGAUGCAGCAACGCCGCGUGCGGGAUGACGGCCUUCGGGUUGUAAACCGCUUUCGCCUGUGACGAAGCGUGAGUGACGGUAAUGGGUAAAGAAGCACCGGCUAACUACGUG